UACGUAGGGGGCAAGCGUUGUCCGGAUUUAUUGGGCGUAAAGAGCGUGUAGGCGGCUAGGUAGGUCCGUUGUGAAAACUCGAGGCUCAACCUCGAGACGUCGAUGGAAACCAUCUAGCUAGAGUCCGGAAGAGGAGAGUGGAAUUCCUGGUGUAGCGGUGAAAUGCGCAGAUAUCAGGAAGAACACCGGUGGCGAAGGCGGGUCUCUGGGCCGAUACUGACGCUGAGGAGCGAAAGCGUGGGGAGCGAACAGG
rnacentral:rRNA from 1 species